GUGGGAAUCUGCCCUUGGGUUCGGAAUAACAGUUGGAAACGACUGCUAAUACCGGAUGAUGACGUAAGUCCAAAGAUUUAUCGCCCAGGGAUGAGCCCGCGUAGGAUUAGCUAGUUGGUGGGGUAAAGGCCUACCAAGGCGACGAUCCUUAGCUGGUCUGAGAGGAUGAUCAGCCACACUGGGACUGAGACACGGCCCAGACUCCUACGGGAGGCAGCAGUGGGGAAUAUUGGACAAUGGGCGAAAGCCUGAUCCAGCAAUGCCGCGUGAGUGAUGAAGGCCUUAGGGUUGUAAAGCUCUUUUACCCGGGAUGAUAAUGACAGUACCGGGAGAAUAAGCCCCGGCUAACUCCGUGCCAGCAGCCGCGGUAAUACGGAGGGGGCUAGCGUUGUUC
rnacentral:rRNA from 1 species